rnacentral:rRNA from 1 species
UGCAGUCGAGCGAACAGAUAAGGAGCUUGCUCCUUUGACGUUAGCGGCGGACGGGUGAGUAACACGUGGGUAACCUACCUAUAAGACUGGAAUAACUCCGGGAAACCGGGGCUAAUGCCGGAUAACAUUUAGAACCGCAUGGUUCUAAAGUGAAAGAUGGUUUUGCUAUCACUUAUAGAUGGACCCGCGCCGUAUUAGCUAGUUGGUAAGGUAACGGCUUACCAAGGCAACGAUACGUAGCCGACCUGAGAGGGUGAUCGGCCACACUGGAACUGAGACACGGUCCAGACUCCUACGGGAGGCAGCAGUAGGGAAUCUUCCGCAAUGGGCGAAAGCCUGACGGAGCAACGCCGCGUGAGUGAUGAAGGUCUUCGGAUCGUAAAACUCUGUUAUUAGGGAAGAACAAAUGUGNNAGUAACUGUGCACGUCUUGACGGUACCUAAUCAGAAAGCCACGGCUAACUACGUGCCACCAGCCGC